CUUCCUAGUGCCUCUCUCCUCUCAGCCGCCUCUUCAUCUUUCUCUCUAUUUCUCUCAAAUCAUCUCCUCUCAAGCUCUAUGUCUCCCCUAUCUUCCUCUCUCACUUCCAUGGGAGACCAUGACAACACUCAUGGCAGCGUGCGGUGGUUUCCAUGGAAUCCGAAGAAGAUUGACAGACGGAGCUAGCUCGGUGGUUAGUGCUCUGCCCACCACCCAAAUCAUCCUUCAAUGAGUUGAUUGAAUCAUUAAUAUUAGUGGUUUCUCUAACCACCCCCAUUCGGACAACGCUAACUAAGCAGAGGAGACGAGCCAGAGUUCAGAGCAACGUCUCCUAAUGUGACUCACUCACUCUCUCUCUUCUGAUCUCCUCUCUCCCAAGUUAUCCGGUCAUGAAUUUUGGAUAAUUAUACAUAUAUAUGUGUGUGUGAAGAGAAUGUGUUGACUACUUUGAGCAAUUCCAUUUUCUACUUCUGCUCAAAAUGUUUGCCGAAUUGCGAUGAUUCAAUUUUUGUCAGAUCGUAGCUAAGACCUCUGCUACUACUACUAUGGUUGUUCCUGUGGAAGAAACCAUUGCGACUAUCUACAUUCUCACUCGAGGAUGAGCAAGUAGAAGUGCAAGGACCAGGAAUUUGGUUGUUAACAGAGAGAGGUGCAACUAAAAGUUCAAUUGAGUAUAAUGAUGUUUCUGCAUAUCGCCUAUCUCUAUCAGAAGAUACAAAAGCUCUUAAUCAACUGGUAAAGGCAAGGGCAAGCUGGACCAAGCCUGAGGUGGAGAGCUCCGAGGUGGAAUGUACAUAGCCAGCGGUUCGACCGCCACGGUCGAGGAGUGGACCAGGACAGGGAUCUCCUAACUACUAGUUUUGCCCUAGCAUGGCCGGUUGUUGUAUAUAAACCCUGAGUCUUUUGUAAACGGUCUUUGAACUUAAUAUUUUUGGGAUCCCAUGUAACAGAAGAUGCUUAUUAAUGAAAAUGUGGCUUUUGAGACCAAAA